UUUUUCAAUUGCAUUCCCACAUAACCUGAUGGGCAUUCCGUGACAGAUAUUUUAGGUUCUGCAUGUACUCACUUGACAUUUUUCACUUUUCUGCUUUGUCUUGCAGGAAACGAAGCGCAAUAAGCUCAAGGAGUUCUUGAAUUUUGCAAGGCCUAUGGGUGUUACACAUUUUCUCAUUUUAUCAAUGCAAAUAUUUGAAACUUGCCAUUAAAUCUCCUCUAAGUUGAAUAUCUAUUCGACUCAAGUUGGGGUGGAUAAUAUGUGCAUAUUGGUGCUCAUUGAUGAAUCUACACAAGCAACUGAACCCGAAUGCCUUAUUCCCUUGGUUCUGGGAACAAAGCAGCCAAUUACUUUUGCACUGGUGUACGUUGGAACAACUCUGAAGGACAUUUCUGAUGUAACACACGGGUGGGGUGAAUUCUCAAAAACCCGUUGGGUAAGACUAGCUGAAAUUCAUAUCUAAAUUUAAGAAGUGUAAUAACCACAUUCAGUUCCUCACCCUUUUGGUCAAAAACUUGCA